GACGUAGGGCGCGAGCGUUGUCCGGAUUUAUUGGGCGUAAAGAGCGUGUAGGCGGCUAUACAGGUCCGUUGUGAAAACUCGAGGCUCAACCUCGAGACGCCGAUGGAAACCGUAUGGCUAGAGUCCGGAAGAGGAGAGCGGAAUUCCUGGUGUAGCGGUGAAAUGCGCAGAUAUCAGGAAGAACACCCGUGGCGAAGGCGGCUCUCUGGGACGGUACUGACGCUGAGACGCGAAAGCGUGGGGAGCAAACAGG
rnacentral:rRNA from 1 species